rnacentral:rRNA from 1 species
AGUGAACGCUGGCGGUAGGCCUAACACAUGCAAGUCGAACGGCAGCACAGGAGAGCUUGCUCUCUGGGUGGCGAGUGGCGGACGGGUGAGGAAUACAUCGGAAUCUACUCUGUCGUGGGGGAUAACGUAGGGAAACUUACGCUAAUACCGCAUACGACCUACGGGUGAAAGCAGGGGACCUUCGGGCCUUGCGCGAUUGACUGAGCCGAUGUCUGAUUAGCUAGUUGGCGGGGGAAAGGCCCACCAAGGCGACGAUCCGUAGCUGGUCUGAGAGGAUGAUCAGCCACACUGGAACUGAGACACGGUCCAGACUCCUACGGGAGGCAGCAGUGGGGAAUAUUGGACAAUGGGCGCAAGCCUGAUCCAGCCAUACCGCGUGGGUGAAGAGGGCCUUCGGGUUGUAAAGCCCUUUUGUUGGGAAAGAAAUCCAGCUGGCUAAUACCCGGUUGGGAUGACGGUACCCAAAGAAUAAGCACCGGCUAACUUCGUGCCAGCCGCCGCGGUAA